GUGUCAGCAGCCGCGGUAAGACAGGGGGCUCGAGCGUUAAUCGGAAUCAUUGGGCUUAAAGGGUGCGUAGGCGGGUUGCUAAGUGUUCUGUGAAAUCCCCCGGCUCAACCGGGGAAUCGCAGGGCAUACUGGCAGCCUUGAGGCAUGUAGGGGCGGACGGAACUGUAGGUGGAGCGGUGAAAUGCGUAGAUAUCUACAGGAACGCCGAUGGUGAAGACGGUCCGCUGGGCAUGUCCUGACGCUGAGGCACGAAAGCGUGGGGAGCAAACAGGAUUAGAAACCCCCGUAGUCC
rnacentral:rRNA from 1 species